rnacentral:rRNA from 1 species
UACCAGCACCCCGAGUGGUCGGGACGUUUAUUGGGCCUAAAGCAUCCGUAGCCGGUUCUACAAGUCUUCCGUUAAAUCCAACUGCUUAACAGGUGGGCUGCGGAAGAUACUAUAGAGCUAGGAGGCGGGAGAGGCAAGCGGUACUCGAUGGGUAGGGGUAAAAUCCGUUGAUCCAUUGAAGGUCACCAGUGGCGAAGGCGGCUUGCCAGAACGCGCUCGACGGUGAGGGAUGAAAGCUGGGGGAGCAAACCGG